rnacentral:rRNA from 1 species
AUUGAACGCUGGCGGCAGGCCUAACACAUGCAAGUCGAACGAGUGGCGGACGGGUGAGUAAUGUCUGGGAAACUGCCUGAUGGAGGGGGAUCACUACUGGAAACGGUAGCUAAUACCGCAUACCAUCAGAUGUGCCCAGAUGGGAUUAGCUGGUUGGUGGGGUAACGGCUCACCAAGGCGACGAUCCCUAGCUGGUCUGAGAGGAUGACGAGCAACUCUGGAACGGAGACAGGGUCCAGACGCCUACGGGGGGAAGCAGGGGGGAAUAUUGCACAAUGGGCGAAAGCCUAAUGCAGCCAUGCCGCGUGUAUGAAGAAGGCCUUCGGGUUGUAAAGUACUUUCAGCGUGGAGGCGUUACCCGCAGAAGAAGCACCGGCUAACGCCGUGCCAGCAGCCGCGGUAAUAC